UUUUCUUUUUCUGAAUGGCGAAGUUAACUCCGAAAGCCUGUCAAAGGUAUGAAGCGUGCCAAGUUCUCAAUCAAGUACACAGGCAGAAUAUGAAUUAUGAAGUGCUUUCAGUUAUUCAGAAGUUGAAAGCAAUCUCUAUCAGCUACACGUAUACGUAAAAUCAUCUGCCUUGCUCUACAGGGUAGUAAACACCUGUGGGAGCCUGGAGCCUUGUCAUCUUCCUGUACCUGCGGUGGUCGCAACCACGCACAAAUAACAAAUUCACGGCAGCUCCACACGCUGUUAAAUAAAAAAAAAGGAC
rnacentral:lncRNA from 7 species